GAUGAACGCUGGCGGCGUGCCUAAUACAUGCAAGUCGAGCGAACGGACGAGAAGCUUGCUUCUCUGAUGUUAGCGGCGGACGGGUGAGUAACACGUGGAUAACCUACCUAUAAGACUGGGAUAACUUCGGGAAACCGGAGCUAAUACCGGAUAAUAUUUUGAACCGCAUGGUUCAAAAGUGAAAGACGGUCUUGCUGUCACUUAUAGAUGGAUCCGCGCUGCAUUAGCUAGUUGGUAAGGUAACGGCUUACCAAGGCAACGAUGCAUAGCCGACCUGAGAGGGGGAUCGGCCACACUGGAACUGAGACACGGUCCAGACUCCUACGGGAGGCAGCAGUAGGGAAUCUUCCGCAAUGGGCGAAAGCCUGACGGAGCAACGCCGCGUGAGUGAUGAAGGUCUUCGGAUCGUAAAACUCUGUUAUUAGGGAAGAACAUAUGUGUAAGUAACUGUGCACAUCUUGACGGUGCCUAAUCAGAAAGCCACGGCUAACUACGUG
rnacentral:rRNA from 1 species